AUGGACUGUACAUUACCUGGAUGGGAUGUGCUCCCCCUGGACGGGCUGUGCUCCCCCUGGACGGGGUGUGCUCUCCCUGGAUGGGCUGCACUCUCCCUGGUUGGGCUGCGCUCCCCCUGGUUGGGCUGUGCUCCCCCUGGAUGGGCUGUGCUCCCCCUGGAUGGGUUGUGCUCUCCCUGGAUGGACUGUACAUUACCUGGAUGGGAUGUGUUCCCUCUGGACGGGCUGUGCUCCCUCUGGACGGGCUGCACUCCCCCUGGACAGGCUGUGCUCUCCCUGGAUGGACUGUACAUUACCUGGAUGGGCUGUGCUCCCCCUGGAUGGGCUGUGCUCUCCUUGGACGGGCUGUGCUCCCCCUGGACGGGCUGUGCUCCCCUUGUAUGGGCUGUGUUCUCCCUGGAUGGACUGUACAUUACCUGGAUGGGAUGUGCUCCCUCUGGACGGGCUGUGCUCCCUCUGGACGGGCUGCACUCCCCCUGGACGGGCUGUGCUCCCCUUGGAUGGGUUGUGCUCUCCCUGGAUGGACUGUACAUUACCUGGAUGGGCUGUGCUCCCCCUGGACAGGCUAUGCUCCCCGUGGACAGGCUAUGCUCCCAGGGCUGUGCUGUUGGGGAUGGAGGAGCCCGUCCCUCCUCCACUGGCCUCCUCCACGUUGGGAGCCUCCCUCUUGUCUUCAGCAGGUCUCUCUGUCAGCCGUGCAUUCCUGGCUCCCCGCCCGCCACCCACCUGCGGGAUCCAUCAGCCUCCUGGGAGGCCAGGGCAGGCAGCUGUGCCAGGAAAUGCAGCGCGGGAGGUGCGCUCCGGGCCGUGGGCCGGUGCCGGGGACCCGGUGUAGGAUGGCGUCGGGGCCCACCCUGCUUGUCGGCUGCAGAGCCAACAGGAGGAGGCACGGCUCGCAGGUGGACGCUGCUUUACAGCCCGAGAGGAGGAGACGACAAGCCCCGCCCCGGCCAGCUCCCGGGGCGCUCUGUGGACUCUGUGGACAUUUACAGCGGCCCCUUCCUCCGGGAGACUUUGCUCUCUGCGGCUCCGGGGACUUGCCUGUCCCAGACGGUGACCGUCUGCUCUUCCCAAGUAAAUUCAUUCUGCUGGUAA
rnacentral:lncRNA from 1 species